rnacentral:rRNA from 1 species
UGGGGAAUAUUGCACAAUGGGCGCAAGCCUGAUGCAGCCAUGCCGCGUGUGUGAAGAAGGCCUUCGGGUUGUAAAGCACUUUCAGCGGGGAGGAAGGCGGUGAGGUUAAUAACCUCAUCGAUUGACGUUACCCGCAGAAGAAGCACCGGCUAACUCCGUGCCAGCAGCCGCGGUAAUACGGAGGGUGCAAGCGUUAAUCGGAAUUACUGGGCGUAAAGCGCACGCAGGCGGUCUGUCAAGUCGGAUGUGAAAUCCCCGGGCUCAACCUGGGAACUGCAUUCGAAACUGGCAGGCUAGAGUCUUGUAGAGGGGGGUAGAAUUACAGGUGUAGCGGUGAAAUGCGUAGAGAUCUGGAGGAAUACCGGUGGCGAAGGCGGCCCCCUGGACAAAGACUGACGCUCAGGUGCGAAAGCGUGGGGAGCAAACAGG